GUAAAUAAAACAUGUCUGAAUUUAAACAAUGUACUUGGGAGACCAGGAUUAACACAAAUGUUAGCAGAGACUCACGUGUGAAGAAAAAGCUUAAAAUAGACUUUCAACUAUGAAGAAAACAAUCUGACGGAUCCCAUUCAAAUCUUAAAUAAAGUGAUUUGCAUCAGCAGCUCCAUGCUCCAGCGCUCUGGGAGAGUUUAUAGUCCUGACAGUUGAACACUGGAUGACUGACAGCUGUCCUUCAUCACAGCAGAAGACACAGAAAUCCUCCUCAUCAUCAGAAACAUGACUCUGAUCUGCGUCCUCAUCUGGACUCUCCUCUGCUGCUGCUUCACAGAGGUCAGAGGUCAGGUCACUGUGACUCAGCAGCCUGCAGCAGUGAGAGCUGAUCUGGGAGGAUCUGUCACCAUCAGCUGUAGAACCAGUCAGAAUAUUUAUAGCAUCUAUUUAGCCUGGUACCAACAGAAAGAUGGACAAACUCCUAAGCUCCUCAUUGAUCGUACCGGCACUCGAGCAUCAGGAACUCCAAGUCGUUUUACAGGCAGUGGAUCAAACUCUGACUUCACUCUGACCAUCAGUGGAGUUCAGGCUGAAGAUGCUGCAGUUUAUUACUGUCAGAGUUAUCAUAGUGGCUCCGUGUUCACACAGUGAAAAAUCAUCGUACAAAAACCUCCCUCAGUCUGAACAGAAACUGAACUUUGUUAUGCAGCUGGAAUCUGCAGCAAACACUGAUAACGUUCACUGAACACACAUUUUACACUCUCACCAUUUAGUUGCAUCAAACCUUAUUAAA